AUGUCUAAACUUAAUCUAGGAUUACAUAUUCUUGCCAUAUAUGUUGUUUUCAUUGCUCACCAAAUCCAUGGAGGUGGAUUGCAUCCAACCAACCAAAAGGCAUGGUAUGCACAUGCUUCUCCAUCAAAAAAGUCCAAUGACAUCGUUUAUUUUGCGACACAUAGCACACAUCCCGGUAGCUACUAUGGACUUGCUGUUACAAUGGAUGUGUACGGACACAAUAUCAGUGCUGGUCAUAUCAUAACAUCUAUUUGGAUUGCUAAUAUGGAGGGUGAUCCAAAGACAGAUGAGAAUGCAAUUUGGGUCGGGUGGCAAGUUGACCCAAAAAAAUAUGGGGACUCACAUACUCACUUCUUCACGAGUUGGACGAGAGACACAUAUCAUACAGGGUGCUAUGACAUGGACUGCCCUGGUUUCCAGCUUGUUAAGGGGUCAAAAAUCGCUCCGGGUGGCACAAUACAACCAGUCUCUCAUGUUCAUGGUGUACGUCAAAAGAUUACAAUUAAAGUGUUUAGGGAAAAAUCCACGGGAAAUUGGUGGAUACACUACGGCUUCAACAAGGCCCCAACACCGGUGGGCUAUUACCCAGCAAAAUUGUUUGACAAGUUAUCGAAGAAGGCGACCCAAAUUUCAAUUGGUAGCGUUGUUGGGGGGAGUCCGUCUAUCCCAUCCCCUCCAAUGGGUAGUGGAUUCUUGCCGUCUGAUAAAGCUGCAUUAAUCACAGAUAUUUCACUCAUUGGGGAAGAUGGCAGGAUGACACCUUUUACUGUGAAUACAGACAGGUUACAGAGUAAGAGUAGUUGUUACUCUAUCUCACCUAUCCAAGGUGCAAAAUGUUCCUAUGGAGGUCCAGGAGGUUGCUCCCGCUAG
rnacentral:rRNA from 1 species